GACGAACGCUGGCGGCGUGCCUAAUACAUGCAAGUCGAACGCAUUUUCUUUCACCGUAGCUUGCUACACCGAAAGAAAAUGAGUGGCGAACGGGUGAGUAACACGUGGGUAACCUGCCCAUCAGCGGGGGAUAACACUUGGAAACGGGUGCUAAUACCGCAUAAUUCCAUUUACCGCAUGGUAAAUGGAUGAAAGGCGCUUUUGCGUCACUGAUGGAUGGACCCGCGGUGCAUUAGCUAGUUGGUGGGGUAACGGCCUACCAAGGCUGCGAUGCAUAGCCGACCUGAGAGGGUGAUCAGCCACACUGGGACUGAGACACGGCCCAGACUCCUACGGGAGGCAGCAGUAGGGAAUCUUCGGCAAUGGACGCAAGCCUGACCGAGCAACGCCGCGUGAGUGAAGAAGGUUUUCGGAUCGUAAAACUCUGUUGUUAGAGAAGAACAAGGAUGAGAGUGGAAAGUUCAUCCCUUGACGGUAUCUAACCAGAAAGCCACGGCUAACUACGUG
rnacentral:rRNA from 1 species